UUUAUGGAGAGUUUGAUCCUGGCUCAGGAUGAACGCUGGCGGCGUGCCUAAUACAUGCAAGUCGAGCGAACAGAUGAGGAGCUUGCUCCUUUGACGUUAGCGGCGGACGGGUGAGUAACACGUGGGUAACCUACCUAUAAGACUGGAAUAACUCCGGGAAACCGGGGCUAAUGCCGGAUAACAUGUUGAACCGCAUGGUUCAACAGUGAAAGACGGUCUUGCUGUCACUUAUAGAUGGACCCGCGCCGUAUUAGCUAGUUGGUAAGGUAACGGCUUACCAAGGCAACGAUACGUAGCCGACCUGAGAGGGUGAUCGGCCACACUGGAACUGAGACACGGWCCAGACUCCUACGGGAGGCAGCAGUAGGGAAUCUUCCGCAAUGGGCGAAAGCCUGACGGAGCAACGCCGCGUGAGUGAUGAAGGUCUUCGGAUCGUAAAGCUCUGUUGUUAGGGAAGAACAUAUGUGUAAGUAACUGUGCACAUCUUGACGGUACCUAACCAGAAAGCCACGGCUAACUACGUGCCAGCAGCCGCGGUAAUACGUAGGUGGCAAGCGUUAUCCGGAAUUAUUGGGCGUAAAGCGCGCGUAGGCGGUUUUUUAAGUCUGAUGUGAAAGCCCACGGCUCAACCGUGGAGGGUCAUUGGAAACUGGAAAACUUGAGUGCAGAAGAGGAAAGUGGAAUUCCAUGUGUAGCGGUGAAAUGCGCAGAGAUAUGGA
rnacentral:rRNA from 1 species